rnacentral:lncRNA from 1 species
ACAUCUUAACUGUAAUAAAAACAAACGGAGGUUAAUAUAAUCAGAUAAAGAAAUCAUCCCAUUGUCUCACUGAUUGAAUCCCCAAAUUGAAAUAGAGCUUGUGAGUGCUAAAGACUCUUGGGAAUAUUCUGUUGACCAAAAAGUUCGCCAGAAAAAUAACCAAAUUGCUGGAAGAUCAUUGGGGAUGGUUGAGACUUGAUUUCAGAUCAAUGAUUGGGUGAAAAAUGGAUGAAAGCUCUUGAAAAGGAAAAAUCUGGAGAAAAAAAACUGAUUAGAGGUUCAUAAAUAUCGUCCGGAAAUUUGGAAAAUUGAUUGGGUAAUGUUUCAACCUCAGUCGUCUCUUAGGCUAUAAUCCUAGAAAAUAGCUAAAAGUUGAGAAUCUCAUCAGAGGGGACGAUAAAUUCAUUCCAACCCCAGCUUCCGGCCGUCAGAGACUCCUGGAACUUGGAUGGGGUGGUUUUGGAAGGUUGACUUGACCCCCAGAAUUUAAAGAGCCCCUUAUAGCAGGGAAGUUAGCACUUGCUGGCACCAGAAUUCAUUGAAAGAUUCCAACUUCUGUUUGGUGCAUAGCACUGUGUCAAGCUUCUGAUGAUGAUGUGGCCUCUUAGUUGGUUGCUUGCUUAAGAAUAUCUAAUCUUCUUUGGUGCUUGAUUAUGUGCAACACCCACAGAAAUGCAAAUGCAAUGGUUGCCAAAUAACGUCUAAUGGUGAAACUCCUCGUCUUUUUGACGAUGCUGGUAAAUGCACAAUGAAUGUUUCUUACAGAAGCUCUGGUAAACUGGUGGUAUGCUUAUAUACACUUGAACAAUCUUCUCCGCUUGAGCUAAGCUCUUGAGAUUGAGUUAGACCUAAGCCCUAUAUCUUUACAUGGUAUUUGUAACACUCCCCCUCAAACUAGGCAUGAUCAAUAUGUAUGCUCCAGCUUGAGGGGAGUGUUAUAGAAUGUAUAUAGACUUCAUUGUUCAUUCUUAGCAAAGUACAUAGCCAUAUUUAGGUAGCAAAUUUGUAGGAAUCCUUCUUUAUUUCUUUCCUUAAUUAACACCUAAUGUAUUGUAUUUAGACAUUGCUUACAGCUUACCUAUUGGAAUACUAUAACUUCUUCCAUCUGAUUACAUGGUAUUAGUGCCAAGUCCUUCCCCGUUUAGGUAGCAAAUUUGUAGGAAUCCUUCUUUAUUUCUUCCUUAAUUAACACCUAAUGUAUUGUAUUUAGACAUUGCUUAC